GACGAACGCUGGCGGCGUGCUUAACACAUGCAAGUCGAACGGUAAGGCCCUUCGGGGUACACGAGUGGCGAACGGGUGAGUAACACGUGGGCGAUCUGCCCUGCACUUCGGGAUAAGCCUGGGAAACUGGGUCUAAUACCGGAUAGGACUCCGGACUGCAUGGUCUGGGGUGGAAAGCUUUUGCGGUGUGGGAUGGGCCCGCGGCCUAUCAGCUUGCUGGUGGGGUGAUGGCCUACCAAGGCGACGACGGGUAGCCGGCCUGAGAGGGUGACCGGCCACACUGGGACUGAGAUACGGCCCAGACUCCUACGGGAGGCAGCAGUGGGGAAUAUUGCACAAUGGGCGCAAGCCUGAUGCAGCGACGCCGCGUGAGGGAUGACGGCCUUCGGGUUGUAAACCUCUUUCAGCACCGACGAAGCGCAAGUGACGGUAGGUGCAGAAGAAGGACCGGCCAACUACGUGCCAGCCGCCGCCGUAA
rnacentral:rRNA from 1 species